rnacentral:rRNA from 1 species
GACGAACGCUGGCGGCGUGCCUAAUACAUGCAAGUAGAACGCACAGUUUAUACCGUAGCUUGCUACACCAUAGACUGUGAGUUGCGAACGGGUGAGUAACGCGUAGGUAACCUGCCUGGCAGCGGGGGAUAACUAUUGGAAACGCUAGCUAAUACCGCAUAAUAUUAAUUAUUGCAUGAUAAUUAAUUGAAAGGUGCAAUUGCACCACUACCAGAUGGACCUGCGUUGUAUUAGCUAGUAGGUGAGGUAACGGCUCACCUAGGCGACGAUACAUAGCCGACCUGAGAGGGUGAUCGGCCACACUGGGACUGGGACACGGCCCAGACUCCUACGGGAGGCAGCCGUAGGGAAUCUUCGGCAAUGGACGAAAGUCUGACCGAGCAACGCCGCGUGAGUGAAGAAGGUUUUCGGAUCGUAAAGCUCUGUUGUGAGAGAAGAACGGGUGUGAGAGUGGAAAGUUCACACUGUGACGGUAUCUUACCAGAAAGGGACGGCUAACUACGUG